rnacentral:rRNA from 1 species
CCCUUCAGAGGGGGACAACAGUUGGAAACGACUGCUAAUACCGCAUACGAUCUAAUCUCGGCAUCGAGGAUAGAUGAAAGGUGGCCUCUACAUGUAAGCUAUCACUGAAGGAGGGGAUUGCGUCUGAUUAGCUAGUUGGAGGGGUAACGGCCCACCAAGGCGAUGAUCAGUAGCCGGACUGAGAGGUUGAACGGCCACAUUGGGACUGAGACACGGCCCAG